rnacentral:lncRNA from 1 species
CAAGACAGAUUCAUGGAAGGAGGGUACAGAUUGCUGCUCAUGGGAUGGGGUCACUUGUGACCACCUAAAUGCUCAUGUUAUUGCCCUUGACUUGAGCUGCAGUUGGCUAUCUGGCAACUUCCCUUCCAAUACCACUCUCUUCCUUCUUCCUCACCUUCAAAAACUCAACCUUGCCUACAAUCAUUUCAAUCAUUCCAAAAUUCCAUCCGAGUUCGGUCGGGUUUACAAGCCUAUUCUACCUCAACCUUUCUAAUACAUGGUUUGCAGGAGAAGUCCCAUCCCAAGUCUCGCACCUGUCAAAAUUGGUUUCACUUGAUCUCUCCUCUGAGUUUGGUGAACAAACAAUUGACAAACAUGCUCUGGAGGGACUUGUUCACAACCUAACCGAGGUCAGACAUCUGUUUUUGGAUGGAAUGGACAUGUCUUCUGUUAAUGCUCAUGUCUUCAUGAAUCUAUCCUCUUCUCUAAGGUCUCUCAGUCUUGCUUAUUGUGAUUUGCAAGGAAAAUUCCCAAAAAACAUUUUUGAUUUGCCAAACCUCAAUCUCCUCAACUUGAGAGGCAACCAAAACCUCAAUCUUGAUCCUUUGAAGUUCAAUCGGAGCAGCAAUCUUGAACAUUUGGAUCUGUCGUGGAUGUCCUCCUCUACAGAAUCCAUUGAUUCAGUUGAUAAUCUACAGGCCUUAAAGUACUUAGCUCUAUCAGGAAAUUCUUUCUUUCAACGAUUGUCUGUCUCAAUCACAAAAUUAUCUUAUUUGGAGUACUUGACACUUGAAGGCGCAAAUUUUUUUGGAGGAUUGCCUGACUCGAUGGGGAAUCUCGUGUCCUUGAAGUGUUUAGACUUGAGAUCAAACAAAUUGAGUGGACAAAUUCCAUUGUCAAUUCUAAACCUAACGCAGUUGGAAUACUUGGAUAUAUCUGAAAAUUCAUUAGAAGGUUCCAUUCCAGAUGAGGUAACCGCUUUUCCUAAUCUAAAACAUUUAGACUUAUCUGACAAUUUACUCAAUGGAACACUUCCGUCAUGGUUGUGUACUGUUCCCUCCUUAAAGAUAAUAUUUCUCUUUCAAAAUCAAUUCAGUGGGCAUAUCAAAGAAUUCCAAUCCAAAUCACUAGAAUUGAUAGUGUUACAGAAUAAUAAACUCCAAGGUCCUCUUCCAUCUUCAAUAUUCCAACUUCUCAAUCUUACAUCGCUUGCUUUAUCCUCAAAUAAUCUUAGUGGUGUCAUAGAGUUUAGCAUGUUCUCAAACCUUCCAAAUCUCGAAUAUCUUGACCUUUCAUAUAACAGCCUAUCCUUAACAUCUAAUACUACUUCUACUGUUAAUCAUAUAUUGCCUAAUCUUACAGACGUACUUUUGUCAUCUUGCAAUCUUAGUGAAUUCCCCCAAUUUUUGAAAGGGCUUAAAAGUUUGGAAAGGUUAGACCUCUCUUGCAACAAAAUUGAAGGCAAGAUUCCACAGUGGAUGCAAGAGGUGGGGAAUGUCUCUUUGACUUACUUCAACGUAUCUCACAACUCUUUGACAGAAGUUGAGCACUUUCCAUGGAAGAAUAUUGCAUUUCUUGACUUAAGCUCCAAUUUGGUCAGUGGAAAUCUUCCGAUUCCAGCUUCGACGAUCAGAGUCUUUCUGAUCUCAAAUAAUAGUUUCAAUGGAGAGGUCUCUUCUUUAAUAUGCAAUGCCAGUUCUCUUCAAAUUCUUGAUUUGUCCCACAAUAACUUGAGUGGAACAAUUCCGCAAUGUUUCGGAAAUUUGAGCGACAGCCUUGAAUUCUUGAAUCUGAAGAAGAACAAGUUUUAUGGGACGAUUCCUCCAACAUUUGCAGAGGGAUGCCAGUUGACUAAUUUCAACUUAAAUGGAAAUCUGUUAGAAGGGCCUUUGACACCAUCCAUCCUUAAUUGUAGAGGUCUGGAAGUGCUAGAUCUUGGUAACAACAAGAUCAAUGAUACAUUUCCUCAUUGGUUGGGAAAUCUUCCAUAUUUGCAAGUUCUUGUAUUGAAGUCAAAUCAUAUGCAUGGUUCUUUGCGUGUCAAUAGCUCCAAGUCUAGCCCCUUUUUCUCUAAAAUCCAAAUUUUUGACCUCUCAAGUAAUUAUUUUUCUGGACCCCUACCUGUGAGGUACAUCAACAGCUUCAAGGCUAUCAGAAAUCUAGAGAAGAUUCGUAGUACAGUGUCGUACAUGGGGGUGAAUGGUCGGAAUGGUAGUGGCUUCUAUACCUAUUCCAUUGGAAUUGUUAUGAAAGGACAAGAUAUGGAAUUGGUGAAAAUUUUCACCAUGUGGAUGAUCAUUGAUCUAUCAAACAAUCAGUUUGAAGGGGGUAUUCCAGAGGUUUUUGGAAAGCUUAACUUACUGAAAGGGCUCAACCUUUCUCAUAAUAACCUUAGUGGUGGUAUCCCCACCUCAAUAGGGAAUUUGACAAGUCUUGAAUGGUUGGACCUAUCUUCAAACAGGUUGUCUGGGACGAUUCCAAAUAGAUUGGCAGAUCUGGCAUUUCUUUCGUCCUUCAAUGUUUCUGAAAAUCAACUCCAUGGUCAGAUUCCUCAAGGAAAACAAUUCAACACAUUUGGAAAUGAUUCAUAUCAAGGGAAUAAGGGACUAUGUGGGUUUCCAGUCUCGAAAGGUUGCAACAUCAUUGAGCCAGCACCUCCAAAUGUGCUUGAAAAAGAUGGCUCAAAAUCAAACAUUACUUUUGGUUGGAAAGUGGUGUUGAUAGGUUAUGGAUGCGGAGUGGUGUUCGGAAUGUCCGUGGGAUAUGUUGUUUUCCAAACUGGUAAGCCGAAAUGGUUGGUGAAUUUGGUUGAAAUCCAACAUGAGAAGAUGCGAAGAAGAAAGUCAAAGGAUGGCAGUCGCAGCAAUGGACGAAGAAGGAUCUAGUUAGUGGAAAUGGUGUUCAAGUGUUGAUGUUGUAUCUUCAUAAUUUCUUGUUUUGAAGUCUUUCAAUUUUUUUCCUAUGGUGAAAGGUUGCAUUGCCAUGCAUCUGUCUUUAUUAUUGUAACAAUUCAUCUAUAUUUCAUUGCAUUACGUCCUAUAACAUUUUGUAUGGUUCAACCAUUUAUAUCUUCUUUCAUGACUUCCAUUUUUGAGUCUCAAUAAUCUCUGCAUUCAAGAUUUUGUCAGCUUAUUAAUUGGUGGAUCAAUAAUCUUCAUGCUCAUCUCAUCAUCUUUUUCUCGAGUUUCUUCUGUGUGGAAAAUAAUUUGACAUUCUGCAAAUUUCCACAAUGCUUGUGGAUUACCUUUGGUUAACAGCUAUACAUAUAAAGGAAGAAAACAAGACCAUGUCCAAAUUUCCAAAAAUUAGCCAUUGAUUUUUGAACAGUUAAACUUUCGUAUUCUAUUUUUUAAAAUUGUAAAUUCUCAAAUAAUGUAAAUUAGUCCUAAAACUCAAGUUUUGAAAUCUUUACAAUUUAACCCCUUAUAGUUUCAAACUUUACUGUUUUAUACUCAACUUUCUAAAUUUUCAUAUUUCAUGAUCAUAUAAUUUAGUUACUACAUCAAUAUUUGAGAUUUCACUACUCAAACCCUUACUUCAUUUCGGUCGUUACUUCAAUUUUAUCAAAUUACAUCAUUUUUCAAUUUGAAUGCAUUGAUGUGAAAUUGAGGGACCACUAAACAAUGUUGAUGAGAGUUUAGGCAAAAUUGGUGGAUCCGAUCUCCUUAGUAAUUUCUUUGUGGAAGUACCUACUUUCACAAUGCAAACUUGGAUAGUUUGUGGUGGACGAUGAUGAAUCAUUUCACAGUCAAACACAUAAUUUUUAAACACAAAAUUAACGAUAUAUUGAAAUCAUUAUUGAAAUUAUAAUCAAAAUUAAUACAUGUUCUUUUUAUUAGCUUAAGGGCGUAAAAACCCUUCAAAAUUUUCAAAAAAAAAAAAAAUUUAAGUCCUUUUUUUCUACUCAAUUGAGCACUUAAACUUUUAAAAUGUAUCAAAAAUAUCUUUACACUUCUUCAAAAAAAGCAAUUAAACCCCUUUUUUUUUCCGCUCAAUUGGGUACUUGAACUUUCAUAAUGCAUAAAAAAAACCUUAAAUUUUUUUUUCAAAGAAACAAUUAAGCCUCUAUUUUUUUCCCACUCAAUUGGGUACUUGAACUUUCAUAAUGCAUCAAAAAGGCCUUUAUUUUUUUUCAAAAAAGCAAUUAAGCCCCUACUCUUAUUAAAAAUUAGAAAAAAUCAUAAAAAUAAUAAAGUUCAAGUACCCAAUUGAGUGCCAAAAAAUAAAGUAGGGGCCUAAUUGCUUUUUUUUGAAAAUGUUUGAGGGUCUUUUUGAUGUAUUUUGAAAGUUCAAGUACCCAAAUGAGUGCAUAAAAAGAACAGGGGUUUAGUUGCUAUUUUUGAAAAAGUUUGCACCCUUAAACCUCUUUUCUUUUUCUUUUUCAUAUGUGGCCUUGUUUGCUACAACUUAGUUGCUAAGUUAAAGGGAGUGAAUAGAGCACCAUUUUCUUCUUCUGCGUGGAAAAUUAAGUUGGCAUUAUGCCAAUUUCCACAUUCAUACAUACAAAGGAAGCAAGAGCAAGUCAAUAUACUUUGUAAUCUCAUCAAUUCUAAUUUUUAAAGUGUUGUUUACUACACACUUAGGGACCAUAUAUGUAUAUAUAUACAUUGCAGUCUGGGUCUUUGUCGUGUUUUGUUGGUUGGCUAUGGCCUUCUUGUUGUUUCCACUGUCUGCGGUGUUUGUUUCUAAGUCAUAUGUGGCCCUGUUUGCUACAACUUAGUUGCUAAGUUAAAGGGAGUGAAUAGAGCACCAUUUUCUUCUUCUGCGUGGAAAAUAAGUUGGCAUUAUGCCAAAUUCCACAUUCAUACAUAUAAAGGAAGCAAGACCAAGUCAAUAUACUUUCUAAUCUCAUCACUUCUUCUUUCUUUAGGGAGUUCAAGUGAAAUACAAAUUUUUUCACAUCCAAUCUCAUAAAUAAUCCGUCUUUGAACUUUCACCAAAAAAUAUUAAAUACCCAUUCACUUCAAUUCUACUAUUCUUAAAUCAUUAAAGUUUUGUGGAAAAUAUGCUUCUUGGAUAAAAUUAUUCAACACACAUGCCUUGAAUUUUAUGCAAAUAAAAUAAAUGAAUAUAGGCCACACAUGCUUUGAAUUUUUAAGUAGUCCAUAAUUUUGUUCGUUUGUGUGCAAAAUUCUACAUUGCUUGACAGCCAUACAUACUAAGUAAAUAGACACCCACAUUGUUUACAUAUUAUGAGGAAGAAGACCAAGUCAAUCUACUUUGUAAUCUCAUCAAUCUUAAUUUUUUCAGUUGUUUAGGGAGUUCAAAUGAAAUACAAAAUUUUGAAAAAAAAAUGUAUCCAAUUUUGUGAAUGAAAAAUUUAUGGUAAAAAGGAUUUGGUAUGGAUACUUCAGCCCGGGUAGCAAUACUCAGGGUAAGUUUAUCAAUACAUUGCUUUUGGUUGGAAAGUGGUGUUGAUAGGUUAUGGAUGCGGGGUAGUGUUUGGAAUGGCCAAAAUAUAGCAAUCGCAUCAGUGGAUGAAGAAGGAUCUAGUUGGUGCAAAUGAAGUUAAAGCAUUUCUGCCGUCUCUUCAUAAUUUCUUGUUUGGUAGUCUGUCAGAAAGUUUUUCCUAUGGUGAAAAGUUUGAGUUGCAUUUAUAAAAUUUCCACUGUCAAAAGAUUCGAUUGCACUGCAGGGUAACAUAUUUAAGAUUGGAUUACACUGUCAAAAGAUUGCAGCAACGAUGAGAUUAAUCCAAUUACAGGAAUUGGUAUCCUAAAUGGCUUUUUGGUACGUAGCUUCAUUGACGGUACAAACUAGUUAAAAUUUCCAGCAUUCAUGUGUUUGUUUUCCCUCAAGUAAACGUAGUCAAUACUGCAAAUGGUGUGGAAGUACUGUACAUUGUGGCCCAAAUGUCCAAAAUUUCCACAUUGCAUGUAAAUUAAGUUUGCGUGAGAGAGAUAGGAGGAAGCAACAGCAAGUGUGAAGUCAAUAGACAACUGAUAGUCUUAGUCUUUUUUUGUCGAGUUAAAGUGUAGUCAAUAGACAAUUGAUAGUCUUAGCCCUUUUUGUGGAGUUAAAAGUAUAGUCAAUAAACAAUUGAUAGUUAAAUUUGUAGCAUUCUUCUUCCUCUUUAUUCUUUUGUGUGGAAAAUUAUUUGGGACCAAACUUGACGUGUUAUAAGGAAGAAGACUUUGUAAUCUCAUGAAUGUUAAUUAUUUUACUUCUUUGGUAAAAAAAGUAACCAAUUUUAUGAAUGAAAAAUAUUAUGUGGUAAAAAGGAAGUAGUUGUUCAUCACUAACAAUAUGAUGAUUGUGGAAAUACAAAAAAUCCCAUAUAUGUGUUGAAUUCUGCAUAAUAUAAAUGUCCUGCAUUGCAUGUGAAUUCUGCAAUAGACCAAACUUUACGUGUUAUAGUCCUUUAAACUGAGUUAAUGAAAAGUAACCAUUCUUAUCAAAUUUAGUUAUACUCUUAAUUUAUAACAAAGGAAAGAGUAAUUUGAGUUUAACUCAAAGGUUAAUAUGUCAUCAAUGGGUGAUGGCGUGGCGCUACCAUGUCAGCGAUUAUUUUCUUCUUUGAAUUAAGGUGAUUUCACCAAUUUUAGUUUACUUUUUUACUUCAAUUUAGGUUUAUGCUUAUUAGCUUCAAAGAUUCUAAGUGGGUGCCACAAUCAAAGGGUGAGUAAAAAGGGUUAAAAAUGAUUUUUUUAAAAUUUUUUUAUUUUUAUUAAAAAUUUAGAAUUAGAAUUAGACAAAUUUUGUAAAAGUUAAGGGCUAACUUUAUUGAUUUUUUUUUCAGAAUUCGAACUAAAAUUACAUUUUGUAAAAAGAGCUAAAUUUGUUGAGUUUUUUAUAUUUAGGAUCAAAUUGAUAGAAUGUGUAAAUAUUAGAGGUUAAAUUUGUUAUUAGAUCAAUAAAAAAAACCCACAUUAGCUUUGCGUCACUCAUCUAACGACAACUAAAGGGAGAGUUAUUAAAAUAUUUAAUUUCAAAAAGUUUAGCAACUAAAUUGGAAAAUUUAAUAGUUGGGUGACUAUUUUUGCAGUUUACUACUUUUUUGGUCACCUGACUAUUAAGUGACACUUUUUAGUUGGUAUAAUAAUAAUUUUAGUCCUCAAUUUUUAUACUUUCUGUCAAUUUGACUCUGAUUAUAUAAAAUGAUUACAAAAGUGAAAUUCUUUUUAAAAUUUACAAAAUUCUAAAAAUUAAAAAUUAAAUGAAAGUAGAUAAAAAUUUCAAAUAUAAACAAAGUGAGAGAAAAUGAGGGAAAUAUUAUUUUUAAACCCUCCAACUUUUCUUUGUAUUAUCGUAAAGAAAUAUCUAAUAUCCAUUCUUUUAGAAAACAUAGAAAAAAGUAAAAAAAAAAAGAUUCAGUAAAAUUAUCUGUAUAUAAUCUGCUUUUAUAAUUUGGGUUUUUAAAAAUAAAUUUAAAUGAAUUGAAAAUUCGAAUUGAGUUUGAAAAAUAAAAUUUUGUGGUAUAUUUUAUAUUUUUGCUAGAAAAAUGGCAUCAAAGUUGAUUUUGUAAGCUUUUGUAAUAUCAGUUACGGAUGUUCUUCAAGGGCAUGGAACUCAACUUGAAAAUUUUACUAAUUUGGUUGCAAAAAACAUUGAGGAAGCAUAUAAUGAUCUAACCUUUUUUGUUUUGUUUUGUUUUUAAUUUGUUAUGGGAUUCUAUUGAAUGAUAAUUUUUUUUUUAUUUCCCAUACAUAUUAGUUCUUCAAAAACAACAUAUUCGAGAUUUUAUUUUUCUAGAAUUUUUAUAUAGAAGUUUAUAUUUUUUAAAAUAAAUUUGAGUUUUUUUUAGAAUUUUUAUAUAGAAUCGAGGUAAAUUGGAAAAAAAAAUUAUAAAAACAAAAUACUAAAAUUGUUAUUAUAGCAACUAAAAAGUGUCAUUUAACAAUAGGGUGACCAAAUUGUAACUUUUUUAGUUAAGUGACCAAAACGAAGAUUUACCCAUAGUUUAGUGGCUAAUUAUGUAGUUUACCCUUUCAUAAUUAAAAAAUAGUUGUUAAGUUUUUCUUGUAUUAGAUAACAAUUUAGAUGGUAAAAACCCUCUUUAGUCCCUCUCAAUUUUGAUAUUAAGUAAAAUUGUCCAUUUAAAAAAAAAAUCAAAGCAAUUUAAUAUUUGUUAAUUUCGAAAGUGAGCAACUAAGGACAAUUAAUCACAAUGUCAAUAUUUUCCAUCAAUUGUACAUAUUUUUAUUGGUGUAAUAACAAAUUUAGCUCUCAAAGUUUACACAUUCUGUCAAUUUAGUCUUGAUUUAACAAAUUUAACCCGCAACAAUUACAUAUUCUAUUAACAUUGACACAUAAUAUAUAAACAUUGAGAGCUUAAUUUGUUAUUGUAUCAAUAAAAAUUAUGUACAAUUUACAGAAAGCAUUAACACAAUGAUUAAUUGUCCUUAGUUGCUCCCUUUCAAAAUUGAUCAUGAUUAAAUUGCUCUAAUUUUCUGAGAGGAACCAAUUUGUUCAAUAUAGAAAUUGAGAGGGACGAGAAAUGUGUUUUUUUAUCCAUUUUAGAUACCAACAAGUGUUUGGCAUAGUCGCAAGACAUAUUACAUUCUCAAGGAGAGAAUGCGUAGUCAAACGUUGGAGAUAUCAAUGUUGUGUGGGGUAUCCAAGGAUCUCGAACACGAACUGUAAAACAUAUAUAAAGAAUAAAAAAAUAACAUCUUAAUUUAAAUAAUUAUAAAUUUUAAUUUGAAAAAAGUAUUUUGAGAAACAUAAGUUUUAGAAGUAGUAAAAUUGAAUCGAUAAAACAUGUCCAUUAUAUCAGAAUCAUAAAAAUACAACUUAAUUAAUUUGAAUUUAAACUUAACUCAACUCGACUUGAUUAUAAAAACUGAUAAUUUGAAUUCAAAAUGACAUGAUCUUGAAAUGAUUUGAAUUAAUUGUCAGACCCGAACGACAAAACUCGAAAUGAUGCAAUCCAAAAACACAAAUCAAGUGAACUAAACUACGAAAAAAAAAACCUUACACUGACUCAAAUCCAAAAUAGUUUAAUCCUAAAAUAACCUAAAUUUUAUAUAAUAAAAACUCGAAAUAACCCGAAAAUUUUUAAAUUAAAAUUGAUCCGACCCAAAUUCACACCACCUAAAAUCAAUCGUAACCACCUAAUUAAAAAGCAUGAAAUGAAAUGAUGUAAAGAGAAAAUCAGAGAAAACCAAAUAGAAAGUAACAAGCCUUUUUCAGAAUUGAAAGCAAAUUCCGUACAUUCACGACAUGCAUAAAACAACAAUGGUUUAUAGAAUUUAAAAAUUUUAGUUUAAUCAUUUAUGUUGGUUGUAGUUUCCGUUAGCUUAAUCAACAUGUUAAAUUACUAAAUUUUGACAAAAAAUACUUACGAGUUUAAUGAUUGUACCGAGAUUUUUAAAUAAAAAAGUCGGAAGACUAAUUUCUAACCUUUUAAAUAUAGGGACUAAAAGCAUCUUUUAACUUUGAUAUUAUUAUUAUAAGCAGGGAUAAUGUCACCUUUGGCAUCUGUACUUUCAUAAAAUGUCUAGUGGUACAAGUACUUUGAAAAUAUAUAAUGUGGUACCUGAACUAUCAAUAGGUGUUAUUAUUAUGGUACAUGUACUUUGAAAAUGUUUAAUGUGGUACCUAAACUAUCAAUAUAUAUUUUAUUAUGAUACUUGAUAAAGACGGACUAUGGUGGCUUAGGGGGCUCUUUGUCCCGCCACCCUUGCAAAAAAAAAAAUCGAAGAAUUUUGUUUUUUCCUUUAAAAUUUUUAGAAAAUUUCAAUUAGGCCCUCAAAAUUUUUGAAAAUUUUCAUUAUACCUUUUAAUUUUUUUGAAAAUUUUAAUUAAGCACUCUUAAAUUUUGAAAAUUCUCAUUAAUCUCACAAAAAUUUUAAAAUUUUUUAUUAGACCCCCAAUUUUUUUUAAAAAAAAUCUUAUUAAACCAUUAAAUUUUUAGCAAAUUUUACCUGCCCCCUCCCCCCCAAAAAAACCUAGUCCCAACUACUAGUAUCCGCCAUUGUUACUUGGUAUUAACACUGUUAGAAAAUUGCUAAAUCAACCAAUAAAAAUUUGACACAUAGAACCCUUUUUUUAAUUAUCAAGUCCACGUGGAUAAUAUAAUAGUGAAAAACUAAAUAAAAAAUAAUUAAAUCUGCUUAUUUACGAAAAUGAUGGAUUUAGUCCUUAUACCUUAAUUUGAUCAAUUUUAGUCAUUGUAUUUUUUGAAUUGGUCAAUUUUAAACUAUUUACUUUUUGAAGUUUGAAAUUUUAGUCUUGAUCCAAAUAAUAAUAAUAAUUAAAUCUGCUUAUUUAAAUUCAAUUAUUAGUUUUGUAUUAUGUAGAUAGUUAUAAAUUUAGGGUGGGUUUGGAUGGGCUGUGCUUUUACCUGCAGUUAGUGUAAAAAUAGCGGCGGUGGUGAGAUUAGAUAUCCAAGGUACCUAAUUUUUAUUUUGGCCAUAAGUACUACUAAAACUAUUCUUCCGUUACCCAUUUUAUACCAAAAUGUUAUAUCGGCUAAAAAGAUUCCAACAAAUAAUAGAUUGUAUGUCAUAUAAACUUUUUUAAAAAAUCAUUAAUUAAUUAAUUUUUAUAUUUUUCUUUCUUAUUCCUUUAUAAUGUUUGACAAUGUCGAUAAUGCUUGAAAUUGGCCCACUUGAGGUCGAAACGCUGGUGAUUAAUUUUGGUUUUGAAUUUCACCACCUACUUCUCUGACCAGAGGGGAUAGAAAAAGUUCUUUCAUCGAUCAAAACUAGUAUUUUCAAAAACAGACUGAUUCUACGGGUUGGAUAGGAAAUCGGUUUGGAAAUAGGGGUUGAAUCGAUUGACUUGCGAACAAAAACAAAUCGGUUGAACUAAGCUAAAAAAACUGGUUGAAUAAGUUCUCUCUUUUUAUAUAUAUAUAAAUAAUAAUAGACUUUGUUUUUACUACAUGUCAAUUUUUAAUUGGUUAAUUUUUUUUUCAUAUAAAUUGAACAAUUUGACUAAUGACGGAGGUACCAAAUUAUAGUCUAGGUACCAAUUUAUGGGUUAAGCCUAUUUAUAAAAUAGACUUUUGACAGUUUGACUAAUGGCGGUAGUAACUUGGGAAAAAAAAAGUAGUUUAUGUACCACUUGUGACAAAAAAUAAGAUUAGGUACCAACAUGGGAAAAUGAGUAUAAUUUAGAUACCGAUUUAUGAGUUAAGCCUAAUAUAUUUGUCGCAUAAUUUUUUGAAAAUAACAGAACUUAAUAAAUUUAACGGUUAUUGUUUGGUGAUUACUAAAAUUUUAAAAUUUGAAAAGUACAUGAACUAAAAAUGACCAAAUUAAAAUAUAAAUAUUAAGUCCACAACUUUUGCAAAGUACAAGGACUAAUUGCAGAAAUUAACCUAAAUUUCAUAUGGGUCAAUUACAAAAAUAAUCACUAAACUAUCCCUUUGGUUCUAUUCUAGCCACUCAACUAUAUAGGUGCUCAUGAGCUUGGCCAGGUCAGGCCUAAGUAAGGGUGAGCAUUCGAUUGAAUCGAAAAUUUUCGAGUUAAUCGAGUUUUCGAAUCUCAUUUUAUCAUCCUAACUUUAUUUGAAGUUUUCUCGAAUCGAGUCGAGUGAGAUGGAAUUCGAAUCGAAUCGAAUCGAAUCGAAUAUAUUUGUUCGAGUUAAAUUUUAAAAAAUAAUUUUGGGUCCUUGUAACCAUUGUCACCCAUCGUAAUAAAAUUUGUCCACCUUAAUCAAAUUUUUUAUUAACUUUCAUCACUUCAUAAUUUAUUUAUUAAUUUUUUAUAUACUGGUUAGCUUCUUUGCUUGCUUAGUUGUCUUCAGAUUCUUGUCACUAUGUAUUUUAGAAUUAAAAAAUAUAUUAAAUGUAAAAAUAUGAUUUUUUAAUAAAAGUUAUUUUAAAAAUAAAAUGUGAAAUUGAUACCAAUAUAAAAUUUCAACACGAAUAUUUUAAGGCAUAAUUAAUAAUUCAAUUUUAAUAUAAAUAUUCAAUAUGACUAAACAAUUCAAUAAUAUAAAUAAUAUAAAAUGUGAAAUUUAAUUUAAUAAUAUAAAUAGUAGAUAUAAAUAAAAUUAUUGCUAUUUAUGUUUAGUGAUUUUUUUGGAUAAUUUUGAUUUUUUAUUUGAGAAUAAAAGGUGAGAAGUAAAAGUUUAGGGGAAAAAUAAAAAGUUUUGGGGAAUAAAAGUUUGAGAGAAAGUAAAUAGGGGGAGUAAAAUUUUGGAGGGAAAAUAUUUAAAAAAAAUUGGAGGGGGGAGGGUUUGGGAUAGAUGGGAGGGGAAUAAAAGUUUUAGGGGAAAAGUGGGAGGGAGUAAAAAUUUUGGGAGAAAAUAAAAGGUUUUGAGGGUUUUGGGGAGUAAAAUAUUGAGAAAAAAUAAAUAGGAGAGUAAAAUUUUGGUGGGAAAUGGAUUUUGGGUAGAUUGGGGGGUUGGGAGGGGAGGGGAGUAAAAGUUUUGGGGGGAAAGUGGGAAGGAGUAAAAGUUUUGAGGGAAAAGUAAAAAGUUUGGGAGUUUGGGGUAAAAAUGUAAAAUAUUAUAGUUUGAUAUUCGAAUUAUUCGAAUUAUUCGAGUUAUUCGAAUUCGAAAACUCAACUCGAUUCGAACUCGAAAUUCGAAAAAAAAUUCGAGUUGAUUCGAAUAACUCGAUUCGUUUAACUCGAAAUUUGAAUUUUUUUCAAUUUUUUCGAGUCGAAUCGAGUUUUGCUCACCCCUAGUUGCAAGUGCAACUUGCGUGGUGGCUGCCAGAAGGACUGAAUCGUAAAUGUAGCAAAAGUUUUGGGGCAAAAAUGUAAUUUUGAGAAAGUUUAGGGUCAAAAUAUAAUUUUAAAAAAUAUUAAGGGUUAAAAUAUAAUUUUAUAAAAAUUUAAGGGUCAAAAUGAAAUUUUAGAAAAGUUCAGAGGUCAAAAUACAAUUUUUAAAUUUUUUUUUAAAAAAAAAACACGAAAUUAUUCCCACAAAAUUAAGUGAUUACACGUAACUUUUCAAUGUAAAAGAAAAAAAAGACUGUAACACCAAUGUUGUGGUGUUAUUUGUUGCCUAUAAAUACCAUUCCUAUUCUUCAUCUUCCUCUGCAAACAUAACAUGGCCCCCUAUCUCUUUCUCUGCCUAUUCCUCUUCUUUCCCCGUCUUUAUGCUUCUUUUUCUUCUUCAGGAUAUCAGUCCUGCUCUUCAUUAAUCCAGUUUAAGGACUCUUUUUCCAUAACAGAGGAUGCUUCUUCUGAUUGCAAUGAGAUUGCUGGCCUUAAAUCUUAUCCCAAGACAAAUUCAUGGAAGGAGGGUACAGAUUGCUGCUCAUGGGAUGGGGUCACUUGUGACCACCUAAAUGCUCAUGUUAUUGCCCUUGACUUGAGCUGCAGUUGGCUAUAUGGCAACUUCCCUUCCAAUACCACUCUCUUCCUUCUUCCUCACCUUCAAAAACUCAACCUUGCCUACAAUGAUUUUAAUCUUUCCAAAAUUCCAUCCGAGUUCGGUCGGUUUACAAGCCUAUUCUACCUCAACCUUUCCCAUACAGAGUUUGAAGGAGAAGUCCCAUCCCAAGUCUCCCACCUGUCAAAAUUGGUUUCACUUGAUCUCUCCUCUCGGAUUGAUUACUCUGGGCAAGUUACAAUUGACAAACAUGCUCUGGAGGGACUUGUUCACAACCUAACCGAGGUCAGACAUCUGUUUUUGGAUGGAAUGGACAUGUCUUCUGUUAAUGCUCAUGUCUUCAUGAAUCUAUCCUCUUCUCUAAGGUCUCUCAGUCUUGCUUAUUGUGAUUUGCAAGGAAAAUUCCUAAAAAACAUUAUUGAUUUGCCAAACCUCAAUCUCCUCAACUUGGGACGUAACCAAAACCUCAAUCUUGAUCCUUUGAAGUUCAAUCGGAGCAGCAAUCUCGAACAUUUGGAUCUGUCGUGGAUGUCCUUCUCUACAGAAUCCGUUAAUUCAGUUGAUAAUCUACAGGCCUUAAAGUACUUAGAUCUAUCAGGAAAUUCUUUCUUUCAAGGAUUGUCUGUCUCAAUCACAAAUUUAUCAUCUUUGGAGCAAUUGAUAAUUUCAGGCGCAAAUUUUUUUGGAGGAUUGCCUGACUCGAUGGGGAAUCUUGUGUCCUUGAAGUUUUUAGUUCUCUCCGAUUCCAACUUUUCAGGACCGCUUCCAAGAUCACUGGGAAACCUCUUUCAACUCAAGUGUUUAGACUUGAGAUCAAACAAAUUGAGUGGACAAAUUCCAUUGUCAAUUCUAAACCUAACGCAGUUGGAAUACUUGGAAAUAUCUGAAAAUUCUUUAGAAGGUUCCAUUCCAGAUGAGGUAACCGCUUUUCCUAAUCUAAUAUAUUUAUACUUAUCUGACAAUUUACUCAAUGGAACACUUCCGUCAUGGUUGUAUACUGCUCCCUGCUUAAAGGAAAUAUAUCUCUCUCAAAAUCAAUUCAGUGGGCAUAUCAAAGAAUUCCAAUCCAAAUCACUAGAAUUGAUAGCGUUAGAGAGUAAUAAACUCCAAGGUCCUCUUCCAUCUUCAAAAUUCCAACUUCUCAUCCUCAAGUAAUCUCAGUGGUGUCAUAGAGUUUCGCAUGUUCUCAAACCUUCCAAAUCUAAAACUUCUUGACCUUUCAUACAACAGCCUAUCCUUAGCAUCUAAUACUACUUCUUGUGUUAACCAUAUAUUGCCUAAUCUUACAGACUUACGUUUGUCAUCUUGCAAUCUUAGUGAAUUCCCCCAAUUUUUGAAAGGGCUUAAAAGUUUGAAAAGGUUAGACCUCUCUUGCAACAAAAUUGAAGGCAAGAUUCCACAGUGGAUGCAAGAGGUGGGGAAUGGCUCUUUGACUUACUUAAACGUAUCUCACAACUCUUUGACAGAAGUUGAGCACUUUCCACGGAAGAAUAUUGAAGUUCUUGACUUAAGCUCCAAUUUGAUCAGUGGAAAUCUUCCGAUUCCAGCUUCGACCAUCAAUGUCUUUUUGAUCUCAAAUAAUAGUUUCAAUGGAGAGGUCUCUUCUUUAAUAUGCAAUGCCAGUUAUCUUAAAAUUCUUGAUUUGUCCCACAAUAACUUGAGUGGAACAAUUCCGCAAUGUUUUGGAAAUUUGAGCAACAGCCUUCAAUUCUUGAAUCUGAAGAAGAACAAGUUCUAUGGGACGAUUCCUCCAACAUUUGCAGAGGGAUGCCAAUUGACUAAUUUCAACAUAAAUGGAAAUCUGUUAGAAGGGCCUUUGACACCAUCCAUCCUUAAUUGUAAUGAACUGGAAGUGCUAGAUCUUGGUAACAACAAGAUCAAUGAUACAUUUCCUCAUUGGUUGGGCAGUCUUCCAUUUUUGCAAGUUCUUGUAUUGAAGUCAAAUCAUAUGCAUGGUUCCUUGCGUGUCAAUAGCUCCAAGUCUAGCCCUUUUUUCUCUAAAAUCCAAAUUUUUGAUCUCUCGAGUAAUUAUUUUUCUGGACCUCUACCUGUGAGAUACAUCAACAGCUUCAAGGCUAUCAUAAAUCUAGAUAAGAUUGGGAGUACAAUGUCGUACAUGGGGGUGUAUGCUCAGAGAGGUAGUGGCUUCUAUACCUAUUCCAUUGGAAUUGUUAUGAAAGGACAAGAUAUGGAAUUGGUGAAAAUUUUCACCAUGUGGAUGAUCAUUGAUCUAUCAAACAAUCAGUUUGAAGGGUGUAUUCCAGAGGUUUUUGGGAAGCUUAACUUACUGAAAGGGCUCAACCUUUCUCAUAACAACCUUCAUGGUGGUAUCCCCACCUCAAUAGGGAAUUUGACAAGUCUUGAAUGGUUGGACCUAUCUUCAAACAGGUUGUCUGGGACGAUUCCAAAUAGAUUGGCAGAUCUGGCAUUUCUUUCGUCCUUCAAUGUUUCUGAUAAUCAGCUCCAUGGUCAGAUUCCUCAAGGCAAACAGUUCAACACAUUUGGAAAUGAUUCAUAUGAAGGAAACAAGGGAUUAUGUGGAUUUCCAGUCUCGAAAGGUUGCAACAUCAUUGAGCCAGCACCUCCAAAUGUGCUUGAAAAAGAUGGCUCAAAAUCAAACAUUACUUUUGGUUGGAAAGUGGUGUUGAUAGGUUAUGGAUGCGGAGUGGUGUUCGGAAUGUCCGUGGGAUAUGUUGUUUUCCAAACUGGUAAGCCGAAAUGGUUGGUGAAUUUGGUUGAAAUCCAACAUGAGAAGAAGCAAAGACGAAAGUCAAAGAAAGGCAAUCGAAGCAAUAGACGAAGAAGGAUCUAAGUACAGCAAAUGAUGUUCAAGAAUUAGUGUUGUAUUUUCAAAAUUUCUUGUUCUGUAGACCGUUUUGCCCAUGGUGAAGGGUUGCAUUGGUAUGUGUAUGUCUUUAUUAUUGUACCAAUUCCUGUCUUUCAUUGCAUUUCGUACUAUCUGUAAUGGUUUGUUUGAGUGUAACAUUUUGUAUGGUAUUGUUGUUUAUGUCUUCUUUCAUGACUUUCCAUUUAGUCUCGAUAAUCUUUGCUACUGCUCAGUAAAGGAGGAAGGAGAAUAAAAUGUCUCAAUUUAUGUCAAUUUAUGCUUGCAGAUUUGACGUGGAAUGUUGUUGAACUGAAGGUUGUUUAACUUUUGUCUUCUAAGCUAUACAUGAACAUAUGGGAUGUGACAAAUAUUAUUUUAGCUUUUGCUUAUGAAAUGUUGAAAUAGUGAGUUUAUAUUCCUUGAUUAAUAAAAAGUGAGAUGGAGAUAGUCAAACCUCAAUUUCCACAUUGAAAUUGAAUCCAAACAUUAAUUGGUGGAUCACAUGUCUUGUAUUCUGUCAAGUUAAAGGGAGUGAAUAGAGCACCAUUCUUCUUCUGCGUGGAAAAUAAGUUGGCGUUAUGCCAAUUUUCACAUUCAUACAUAUAAAGGAAGCAAGACCAAGUCAAUAUACUUUGUAAUCUCAUCAUUUCUUCUUCAUUCUUUAGGGAGUUCAAAUGAAAUACAAAUUUUUGGUAAAUCAACUCUUCUUUUUUAUGAAUAAAAAUUAUAUGGUAAAAAGGAAGUGGUGUUAAUAAUAAUAAUAAUAAUAAUAAUAAUAAUAAUAACAACAAUACAAAACUAAUAAAGCAAUUUAGUCUAUGAUUUGCACAAUGAUUAAUGUAGCGACCUAAAAAUUUAGGCACGAGCGCUAAUUGAAGUGAUUAUUGAAAAUUUGAAAACAGAAUCUCGAUUUUAUUUGAAAAAGGAGUCGCUAUCGAUCUUUUUUUCUAGGUGUGAUCGGACACCUAAUAAAUUCUCUUUUUAGAAGAAAAAUUUAUUUUUAAAUUUUUCUAAAAAUAGGUAAUUUUUCUAAAAAAUUUAGGGGUCAAAAUGUAAUUUUUUUUUUUUUGAAUUUUUUUUGAAAUUUAAAAAAAUAUAUAUAUAAACACGACAAAACCCGGACAAAAUUUAGUGCUUACAAUUAAUACCUAAUUUGAUCCUUGAAUUAUAGUUCAAAAAGUAUUUUUAUAUUUUUAAAUUUUCAUAAAAAUAAUUGUAUCAAAAUUUAAAAAUCUUAAAAAUAAAUACAAAUUUUAUAUAAAAAAUCAAUUGGCCCAAGAAAAAAAAUUUACCAACUAAAUUUUCCAUAUCCAAACUCAUAAAUAAUUCUUCUUUGAACUUUCACAAAAAAAUAUUAAAUACCCUUUCACUUUAUCAUUAUAAAUAUAAUAUACAUUUUUUUCCUUCUUUUUCAUGUAGAUCAGCUUCAACUCUACUAUUCUUAGAUCAUUAUAAAUAUAAUAUAUGUUUUAUUUACAGCUGAAAGUAAAACCUUGAGUUGAAAUUUGGCAGAAAAAAUUGUGGGUUUGGAGAAGAAGAAGAGCACUUUGUAUUUAAAUUUAAAAAAUCAAAAAUUUCAAAACUGAAAGUUACUCAAAACCCUAAACAAUCUAAUAAUUGGAGUUAUAGAAAAGAAAUAUGAGUUUAGAAAUAAAUAAAACAAAAUAAAUUUGCAAAACAAUUUCUAGGCAAAACAACAUGAAGUUGUUGAUGUGAUUGAAGGUGUUCUUCAACGGUGGAAAACAAAUAGAAUUUAAUUUGAAAAUUUUAAGAUUUUUUAAAUAAUAAAAAAUUGCAUUAGUUUAAAAACUUUAGUUUUAAUUUUAAGAUAUUUUUAGAUUUAUACAUAUUUAAUUAUUUUUAGAUUUUUUAGAUUUAAAUGAAGUUACAAUUAUUUUUGAAAACGGUACCUCUACAUUUUUGAAGGUACAAGGAAAUAAAAUAUGGAUUUGGUAUCGAUACUUCGGCCCGAGUAUCAAUGCUCGAGGUAAGUUUAUUGAUACCUUGCGAAAGGUACCAAUAAUUUUUUUAUAUUUUGAUAUUUGGUAAGAAACAUAAUGUUAGUUUGGUAUCGAUUUUCCAUGAGAUAUCAAUACCACUUAAAGAAAAUAUCGAUAGCCCUAGGACAGUAUCAAUACCUAUGUAACAGUUUUAGAAAUUUUGCAACUGGGCCCAUUUGUAGGUUUGAUUGAUGUUUUUAAUACCCUUAGUGUAUGUAUGGCAUGUUUUAAUGAUAAGAAGUGGUUGAACGACUACAACUCAUACGUAGGAUUGAAUAAAGAUGAUGAUUGGUUACUUGUGAAAUUGUUUGCUAAGUAAAUGAUGCAUGAUGGUGGUGUAACAUCCUAAUAUUUCGGCUUGGCGACUGAGCCGAGUAUAGGGUGUUACAAUGUGUUCCACAAGUUUCAUCAGCAAUCCUCAAUGCAUCUAAUUAAUUGGGAAAAUUGAGAAAAUAGAAAAAGCUUCAGAUGGUCAAGAAGAUGUAACAUGAUGAGUACCUCUUUGCACCGUCAAGAAUUUUAGUAAGUCUCCAAAUUCAUUCAUUAACCCUCCUUCCUGUUAAAUAUUUAUCAUUAAUUUUAUUAAAUUAAAACAUAAAUUUUUAUAAAUCUAAAGUGUAAUUUAUGAGCCGAGUUAUUCAAUCCAAAAAAAAAAAUCAGCCAAGACUCUUUGGACAAAUUGCUUGAGUAAAACCAGAAAAUGAAUAACAAUUUUGAUGGAUUUUGAUUACAAAUGAAUUGAGGCAUAAUGCCAUUACAUAUACCAUGCAUUCAGCUGGUCAAAAUGAGACAGACAUCACCUAAUCAUCAACCUAACUCCACUAAGUAGCCUUGAAACUUAUGAAAACAUAACUUGCACACAUAGGUACGCUGAUUUAUCAAUCUAUCAGCACCUAAUUACAUCAAACAUGUUACCAACUUAGUUCAAAUCAAACUAAGCAAGAAAACAUUAACUUAAAGUAACAAAAAAUGAACAGCAGCAUGAACUUCAGCUGCAACUGCAUGGCUGGAGCAGCUCUGCUUCUUGUCUGCAUGCCGGCCAACUUCAACAAGAUCUGAGUAAGGCUAAUUUGUCCAGAAGUUGCAUCAUGCAAAACUAUUUAAUGGCUUUUAGGUAGCUUUGUCAACGGCAAAAAAAAUGAGAAAAUUAGUCAAAUUUCUUCCAUUUUUAUCUUUAAAAAUUUGGUUUUGUGCGUCAACAUGAAGUACAUGUGGCACGUACAUGCAAACUGUCUGAUUAUUUAGACAUCUACACUAGUUUUUAAAGGUAAAAAUAGAAGAAAAUUUUAAUAAACAAGACCAAUUAACUCUUUUAUCUAGCAUACAAGAAUUAUUCUAUACAUCUUUCAAUAAAUGGGGAAAAUUACAUCCACACAUUCUCCACAUUUCAGACCUGUAAUUCUAGCCAAUUGGUCACAAGCAUACAUGUCCCAUUUCAAUAUUCAAAGGUCUGCUUUGAUUAUUUUAUUUUGUGUUCUGUUGUCGCCCCAAAAUAGUUCCACUUGGCACAUCUCCAUACAUUUCAAACAUACCAAAAAUCUGCUGGCAAGCAAUACAAGACAAGUUCCAGCCACUUCAACAUUUGGCUCCUGUUCAUUGCCAAAAGAAAAAAAUAAACAUUUUUUAUAUUUAAUUGAAGGUCAAAAACACAUAAAAAGACAACCGGACAGCUAAUAUUUCAUCCAAUCUUCACAACAUGUCUGUGUGCGUGCAGAUCCUUCACUUCCCAGAAGCCUUUAGCGCGUAUUCUAUUAUAAAAUCACAGAUUACUAUUUAAAUGAUAAAUAAAUUAUUUAAAGUAUGAAAAUAUACAUGUUUUUUUUUUAUUGGCUUAAGGGCGUAAAAAAUCCUUAAAUUUUUUUUUUAAAAAAGACAAUUAAAUUUCUCCUUUUUUUACACUCAAUUGAGCACUUAAAGUUUUAAAAUGCAUCAAAAAUACUCUCAAACUUCUUCCGAAAAAACAAUUAAAUCCUUAUUUUCUUUCCCACUCAAUUGGGUGCUUGAACUUUUUCAUAAUAUUUUUUUGGGCGAUUUAAUGAACCAUACAAGUUUCAAGGCUAAAAGAGGCAAAAGAAAAAGAAAAAGAAAAAAAAGCUAAAAUGACUUUUUGUUUGUAAAGUCAAAAAAUACCAAAUAAAUCAUUAUGUCUUUUUAGUUUUAAUUUUUUACUUGAUUAAAAGAGAAAUAAUUAACGAAUGAAAAAUAGCUAUUCCUAAAUAAAUUUAUCAGAAUUUAUAACAAAUGAGAUUUUAGAUUUGAAGUAUGAGGUUAUAUAUAUUAUAUAAGUAUAUGAUGAAGUUGGUUCAGCAUGCAGCAAACUCGACAGCAUGCAGGCCAUCAAGACCAAGUCAUGCAGGAGCUGCUGGAACGAGCUGAACUAUUCCUAUUUUGUUCAACUUGUAACCUUAAGUUAAUGUAAUGUACUUUAGUUCAUUUAGAACUAUGUUAGGUUUAUGAUUGAUGUAUUUUGAUGACAAUUAAGCUGUUAAGUCAGCUUUGUUUAAGUGUGCAAGCUUAGUUUUUCAAGUUUCAAUGUAUUAGUGGUGGUAGGUGAUGAUUAGGUAUCAUUAUGCAGAUUUUGACAAGCAAAUUGCUUGGUUUAUGUAUUGGCAUUAUGCCAUUGUUCAAUGUAUGAAUAGAAUCAGUUUUUGUUCAUCAAUUUCCUCUCCAUUUUCUUAGCUUUUUCUUUCUUUCUUUAACUCGAAAUUGUUUGUUUGCUCAGCAAGUUUUAAGGCUUGCUCGACAAGAUACUUGCUGAGUCUGCUUGAUUCUGUUCUUGCAUCAACAAUUGGUAUCUAGAGCCUAUUUCUUAAGGGAUCUGUUACUCAAUUCCAUGGCUUCAUCAAGCUUUUCACCAGCUGCACCUCAAGUCUUCAAUGGAGAAGGCUAUCACAUAUGGGUGGUCAAAAUGAAGACCUACCUGCAGGCUUUCGAUCUGUGGGAGGUGGUCAACUUUGAUGUUGAACCAGAGCCACUUAGAGCUAAUCCAACAGUGGCUCAGAUCAGGCAGCAUGCUGAUGAAAGGACCAAGAGGCACAAAGCUAUGUCUUGCAUCCAAAACUCAGUGUCUGAUGUGAUUUUCACAAGGAUUAUGGCCUGUGAAUCACCAAAACAGGCCUGGGAUAAGUUGCAGGAAGAGUUUCAAGGGACUGAGAGGACAAGGCAGCAACAGUUGUUAAAUUUGAGGAGAGAUUUCGAGAAUUUGAAGAUGAAGGAAGAAGAAACUGUCAAGCAAUAUUCUGACAGGAUUAUGGCCGUGGUUAACAGCAUCAGGCUCCUUGGAGAGCAGUUCAAUGAAGCUAGGAUAGUGGAGAAGGUUAUAGCAACUCUGCCUGAGAGGUAUGAGGCAAAAAUCUCAUCUCUCGAGGACUCAAGGGAUCUGUCCACCAUCUCCCUGACAGAGUUGAUCAAUGCUCUAUAUGCUCAAGAGCAGAGGAGAGCAAGCAGACUGGAGGAGCACCAAGAAGGUGCCUUUCAGGCAAGAACAAAUACUGCCUACAAAGGCAAGAAGGCCUGGAGAGACAAGCCAAAGAAUGAUGCUGCAAGGAGAGAAGGUCAGACUUGCAAGCACUGUAGAAAGGCUGGUCAUUCAGAAGAAAAAUGCUGGUUCAAUCCAGAUGCUGUGUGUCAGCAUUGUAAGAAGAAGGGUCAUGUUGAGAGAGUCUGCAAGAGUAAGACCAAAUCGAGGCAGAAUCAGUUUCAACAGAUGAAAGCUGAGGCUCGAGUAGCUAAGGAGGACAGUGACCAAGAGGAGCAAGUCUUUGCUGUGUCAUGCUCAGCUGCUCAGGAAAAGUCCUCAUCUGGUUGGCUUCUAGACAGUGGAUGUACCAACCACAUGACACCUGAUGCUGCAAUCUUCAAGUCUUUAGACAGAAGCUGUAGAACUAAAGUCAAGAUAGGAAAUGGUCAUUUUAUUCAAGCUGAAGGCAAGGGUGAUGUGCUGAUAUGCACCCUUACAGGUACCAAAGUGAUUUCAAAUGUGCUGUUGGUGCCUGAAAUUGACAGAAACCUGCUCAGCAUAGCUCAGUUGCUGGAAAAAGGUUAUUCAGUUGUGUUUAAAGACCACCAUUGCCAAAUCAGUGAUCCAAGUGGAUCCAAACUGAUGGCAGUCCCUAUGGCUGACAAGAGCUUUGUGGUUGACUGGACAAAAAAGGCAGACAUUGCCUACACAGCCACUUCAGAUGAAUCCAAGCUGUGGCAUCAAAGAUUGGGACAUGCCAACUUCAGAUCGAUGGCUCGAAUGGUCAGAGAGGACCUGGCUGAAAAUUUCAUCAACUCAGUUGACCAUGAUGAUGUAUGUGAUGUAUGUCAGCUAGGAAAGCAGGCCAGACUCCCAUUUCCCUCGAAUCAAGCCUGGAGAGCCUCUGAAAAACUCCAACUGGUGCAUACUGAUGUGUGUGGCCCUAUGAAGACUGAGUCAUUAAGUGGAAACAGGUAUUUCAUACUGUUCAUUGAUGAUUUCUCGAGAUAUUGCUGGAUUUACUUUUUAAAACAGAAAUCUGAAGUGGCCUCAGUGUUUUGGAAGUUCAAGACUGCUUCUGAGACUGAAACAGGCUGCAAGCUGAAGACCAUAAGGUCUGAUAAUGGGACUGAGUACACCUCAGCUCAGUUCCAAGCCUUCUGUGAUAAGGCAGGCAUCAAACAUCAACUUACCAACACAUAUACACCUCAGCAGAAUGGGGUAAGUGAAAGGAAGAAUAGGAGUUUGAUGGAUAUGGCCAGGUGCUUGAUGAUUCAGAAAAAUCUGCCUAAAGCACUAUGGGCAGAAGCAGUUAACACUGCAACAUACAUUCAAAAUAGACUUCCAACCAAGGCUUUGGAUCAAAAGACCCCAUUCGAGGCCUGGUUUAGCUUCAAGCCAUCAUUGGCUCAUCUGAAGGUCUUUGGAUGCAUCAGUUAUGCACAUGUACCUGCUGUUAAAAGGGACAAAUUGUCUGAAAGGGCUCGACCUGGUGUUUUGGUGGGGUAUAGCACUGUUAAGAAGGGCUAUAGGAUUUUAGAUCCUACAACAAACAAAGUAUCAAUAAGCAGGGAUGUGGUAUUUGAUGAGAGGUCAUGUUGGAACUGGGAAAGACAUGAACCUGAAGAAGUUUCUGAAGAACUUGCAGUAGACCAAGCUGAGCCAGAUCAAAAUGUCCCUGAAAUGGAUAUUGAUGAUGAACCAGUCAGAGGAACAAGGUCAUUGGCUGAGGUUUAUGAAAGGGCUCAUGUAGCCAUAGCUGAACCAAGCAACUUUGAAGAGGCUGAGGCUCAACAAGGGUGGAAGCAGGCAAUGGCUGAGGAGAUCAGCAUGAUUGAGAAGAACCAGACCUGGGAAUUGGUUGAAAGGCCAGUCAAAAGGAAAGUGAUUGGGGUGAAAUGGGUGUACAAAGCCAAGCAGAAUGCUGAUGGUACCUUGAACAAGUUAAAAGCAAGGCUAGUGGUCAAGGGGUUCAGUCAGAGGUAUGGCUUGGACUACUUGGAGACCUUUGCACCAGUGGCCAGGCUCGACACCAUCAGACUGCUGAUUGCCUUAGCAGCACAGCUCGAAUGGAAGAUUCAUCAACUUGAUGUGAAAUCAGCCUUUCUGAAUGGUUUCUUAGAUGAAGACAUCUAUGUUGAACAACCACAAGGGUUUGAAAUAGCUGGCAGAGAGCAUAUGGUCUACAAAUUGAAGAAGGCCCUAUAUGGCUUAAAACAGGCUCCAAGGGCCUGGUACAGCAGAAUCGAUGGCUACCUGACUGAUCUGGGAUUCAAUCGAAGCAAGAGUGAGCCAACACUGUAUGUCAAGAAGCAAGGGACACAAACACAACUCAUUGUGUCCCUAUAUGUUGAUGACCUGCUGGUGACAGGAGGAGAUCAAGCAGUGCUGGUUAGUUUCAAGACCAAGAUGCAGGAGGUGUUUGAAAUGUCUGAUCUUGGGGAGAUGUCCUAUUUUCUUGGAAUGGAGGUGACUCAAGCACAGAAUGGGAUAUUUUUAAGUCAGAAGAGCUUUGCCACAAAGAUUCUGACCAAGUUCUCCAUGCAAAACAGCAAACCAACUAAAACACCUGUUGCUGUUGGAGAAAAACUAUCGAGCCAAGGAGAUUUUGAGAAGGUAUGUGAAACUACCUACAGGAGUCUAGUUGGUUGUUUGCUAUACUUGACUGCCACUAGACCAGACAUAAUGUAUGCUGUAGGAUUGCUCUCAAAGUUCUUGCAUUGUUGCAAUGAGAAGCAUUUCCAGACUGCCAAGAGAGUGCUCAGAUAUGUCAAAGGCACUUUGGACUAUGGCUUAAGGUACAGCAGAAAAGGAAAUCUAAAUCUAGUUGGGUACACUGAUAGUGACUGGGCUGGAUCGAUAGAUGACAUGAAAAGCACCUCAGGGUAUGCUUUUAGACUUGGUUCAGCCAUGUUCUGCUGGAGCUCGAAGAAGCAAAGUCUGGUGGCACAAUCUACGGCUGAAGCAGAGUAUGUGGCAGCAGCAAGUGCUGUCAACCAAGCCAUUUGGCUUAGGAAAAUCCUGGCUGAUUUGAAUAUGGAUCAAAUGGAAGCAACAGAGAUCUUCUGUGACAAUCAAUCUGCAGUUGCAAUUGCUAAAAAUCCAGUGUUCCAUGGUAGAACAAAACAUUUCAGCAUCAAGUUACAUGUUGUUCGAGAAAUGGAGCAAGCUCAGGAAGUAAAGCUGAUCCACUGUAAUUCAGAGGAUCAACUUGCUGACAUUUUAACCAAAGCUCUUAGUGUCACAAGGUUUGAAUAUCUAAGAAAGAUGCUAGGUGUUUGCUCCAUGCAAACCAAGGAGGAGUGAUGAAGUUGGUUCAGCAUGCAGCAAACUCGACAGCAUGCAGGCCAUCAAGACCAAGUCAUGCAGGAGCUGCUGGAACGAGCUGAACUAUUCCUAUUUUGUUCAACUUGUAACCUUAAGUUAAUGUAAUGUACUUUAGUUCAUUUAGAACUAUGUUAGGUUUAUGAUUGAUGUAUUUUGAUGACAAUUAAGCUGUUAAGUCAGCUUUGUUUAAGUGUGCAAGCUUAGUUUUUCAAGUUUCAAUGUAUUAGUGGUGGUAGGUGAUGAUUAGGUAUCAUUAUGCAGAUUUUGACAAGCAAAUUGCUUGGUUUAUGUAUUGGCAUUAUGCCAUUGUUCAAUGUAUGAAUAGAAUCAGUUUUUGUUCAUCAAUUUCCUCUCCAUUUUCUUAGCUUUUUCUUUCUUUCUUUAACUCGAAAUUGUUUGUUUGCUCAGCAAGUUUUAAGGCUUGCUCGACAAGAUACUUGCUGAGUCUGCUUGAUUCUGUUCUUGCACCAACAGUAUACCUGUUUUUAUGGAAUCGGUGGAUUAUAUUUUCGACAGUCUUCUUCCCCAAGCGUAGUGAAUAGAGCACAAUUUUGUUCUUUUGGAUGGAAAAGAAUUUCUACAUUAAUUAGAUUUGGUUGACAGGCAAAUGAAUAGAUACACACAUUUUUUACGUGUUAUUAAGGAAGAAGACUAAGUCAAUCUACUUUGUAAUCUCAUCAAUCUUAAUUUUUUUAGUUGUUUAGGGAGUUCAAAUGAAAUACAAGAUUUUGCUAUAAAAAAAAAAAAGCAUCCAAUUUUAAGAAUGAAAAAUAUACGGUAAAAAGAAGACUAAUGGUUGUUGAUGAUUGUGAAAAAUACAAAAAUUAUUUGUUGCCUAUAAAUACCAUUCCUAUCCUUCAUCUUCCUCUACAAACAUAACAUGGCCUCCUAUCUCUUUCUCUGCCUAUUCCUCUUCUUUCCCCAUCUUUAUGCUUCUUUUUCUUCUUCAGGAUCUCACUCCUGCUCUUCGCUAAUCCAGUUCAAGAAUUCUUUUUCCAUCACUCAGACAGAUGUUGCUUCUUCUUAUUGCGAUGAUCAAUCUUAUCCCAAGACAGAUUCAUGGAAGGAGGGUACAGAUUGCUGCUCAUGGGAUGGGGUCACUUGUGACCACCUAAAUGCUCAUGUUAUUGUCCUUGACUUGAGUUGCAGUUGGCUAUAUGGCAACUUCCCUUCCAAUACCACUCUCUUCCUUCUUCCUCACCUUCAAAAACUCAACCUUGCCUACAAUGAUUUUAAUCUUUCCAAAAUUCCAUCCGAGUUCGGUCGGUUUAUAAGCCUAUUCUACCUCAACCUUUCCAAUACAGGGUUUGCAGGAGAAGUCCCAUCCCAAGUCUCCCACCUGUCAAAAUUGGUUUCACUUGAUCUCUCCUGUCGGGCUGAUGCACAAACAAUUGACAAACAUGCUCUGGAGGGACUUGUUCACAACCUAACCGAGGUCAGACAUCUGUUUUUGGAUGGAAUCAACAUGUCUUCUGUUAAUGCUCAUGUCUUCAUGAAUCUAUCCUCUUCUCUAAGGUCUCUCAGUCUUGCUUUUUGUGAUUUGCAAGGAAAAUUCCCAAAAAACAUUUUUGAUUUGCCAAACCUCAAUCUCCUCAACUUGGGAGGCAACCAAAACCUCAAUCUUGAUCCUUUGAAGUUCAAUCGGAGCAGCAAUCUUGAACAUUUGGAUCUGUCGUGGAUGUCCUCCUCUACAGAAAUUGAUUCAGUUGAUAAUCUACAGGCCUUAAAGUACUUAGAUCUAUCAGGAAAUUCUUUCUUUCAAGGAUUGUCUGUCUCAAUCACAAAUUUAUCAUCUUUGGAGUACUUGAUUCUUAGAGGCGCAAAUGUUUUUGGAGGAUUGCCUGACUUGACAGGGAAUCUUGUGUCCUUGAAGUUUUUAGAUCUCUCCCAGUCCAACUUAUCAGGACCGGUUCCAAGAUCACUGGGAACCUCUUGCAACUCACUCAUUUAGACUUGUCGCAGAACCAAUUGAGUGGACAAAUUCCAAGAUUAUUGGGGAACCUCUUUCAACUCACUCAUUUAGACUUGUCGUGG